GAUGAACGCUGGCGGCGUGCUUAACACAUGCAAGUCGAACGGAAAGGCCAGUGCUUGCACUGGUACUCGAGUGGCGAACGGGUGAGUAACACGUGGGUGAUCUGCCCUGCACUUCGGGAUAAGCCUGGGAAACUGGGUCUAAUACCGGAUAGGACAAUGGUUUGGAUGCCGUUGUGGAAAGUUUUUUCGGUGUGGGAUGAGCUCGCGGCCUAUCAGCUUGUUGGUGGGGUAAUGGCCUACCAAGGCGUCGACGGGUAGCCGGCCUGAGAGGGUGUACGGCCACAUUGGGACUGAGAUACGGCCCAGACUCCUACGGGAGGCAGCAGUGGGGAAUAUUGCACAAUGGGCGCAAGCCUGAUGCAGUGACGCCGCGUGGGGGAUGACGGCCUUCGGGUUGUAAACUCCUUUCGCUAGGGACGAAGCGUAUUUGUGACGGUACCUGGAGAAGAAGCACCGGCUAACUACGUG
rnacentral:rRNA from 1 species